GCCUUCGUAGUGUAGUGGUCAACACGUUCGACGCGUAACCGAGAGGUCCGUGGUUCGAUUCUAGGCAAAGGCA
rnacentral:tRNA from 1 species